CCUACGGGAGGCAGCAGUGAGGAAUAUUGGACAAUGGGCUUAAGCCUGAACCAGCCAAGCCGCGUGAGGGAAGAAUGCCCUAUGGGUUGUAAACCUCUUUUGUCAGGGAGAAAAGCCGGCUACGUGUAGCCGGACUGAGAGUACCUGAAGAAAAAGCAGCGGCUAACUCCGUGCCAGCAGCCGCGGUAAUACGGAGGAUGCGAGCGUUAUCCGGCUUUAUGGGGUUUAAGGGGAGCGUAGGCGGAAUGCGAAGUCAGCGGUAAAAGCGCGGGGCUCAACCUCGCUCCGCCUUUGAGACUGGCGUUCUUGAGUGGGCGAGAGGUAUGCGGAAUGCGUGGUGUAGCGGUGAAAUGCAUAGAUAUCACGCAGAACGCCGAUGGCGAAGGCAGCAUACCGGCGCCCUACUGACGCUGAAGCACGAAAGCGUGGGUAUCGAACAGGAUUAGAUACCCCAGUAGUC
rnacentral:rRNA from 1 species